rnacentral:rRNA from 1 species
AGUGAACGCUGGCGGUAGGCCUAACACAUGCAAGUCGAACGGCAGCACAGUAAGAGCUUGCUCUUACGGGUGGCGAGUGGCGGACGGGUGAGGAAUACAUCGGAAUCUACUUUUUCGUGGGGGAUAACGUAGGGAAACUUACGCUAAUACCGCAUACGACCUACGGGUGAAAGCAGGGGAUCUUCGGACCUUGCGCGAUUGAAUGAGCCGAUGUCGGAUUAGCUAGUUGGCGGGGUAAAGACCCACCAAGGCGACGAUUCGUAGCUGGACUGAGAGGAGGGUAGGCCACCUGGGAAGUGGGACGCGGUCAAGGCUACUAAGGGAGGGAGCAGAGGGGAAUGUUAGGCAACGGUCGCAAGCCUGAUACAGUCAGAGCGAGUGGGUGAAGAAGGCGUUCGGGUCGUAAAGCCGUUUUGCUGGUAAAGAACAGCAGCAGGUUAAUACGACGCUGUUCUGACGGUACUGAAUGAAGAAGCACCGGCUAACUUCGUG